UACGUAGGGGCCAAGCGUUGUCCGGAUUUAUUGGGCGUAAAGAGCUCGUAGGCGGUUCGGCAAGUCAGCUGUGAAAUCUCCACGCUCAACGUGGAGGGGUCAGCUGAUACUGCUGUGACUCGAGUCCGGUAGGGGAGUGUGGAAUUCCCGGUGUAGCGGUGAAAUGCGCAGAUAUCGGGAGGAACACCAGUGGCGAAGGCGGCAUCCUGGCCAUGUCCUGACGCUCAGGGGCGAAAGCGUGGGGAGCAAACCGG
rnacentral:rRNA from 1 species